GGGUUGUGAGGUUAAGCGACUAAGCGUACACGGUGGAUGCCCUGGCAGUCAGAGGCGAUGAAGGACGUGCUAAUCUGCGAUAAGCGCCGGUAAGGUGAUAUGAACCGUUAUAACCGGCGAUUUCCGAAUGGGGAAACCCAGUGUGACUCGUCACACUAUCAUUAACUGAAUCCAUAGGUUAAUGAGGCGAACCGGGGGAACUGAAACAUCUAAGUACCCCGAGGAAAAGAAAUCAACCGAGAUUCCCCCAGUAGCGGCGAGCGAACGGGGAGGAGCCCAGAGCCUGAAUCAGCAUGUGUGUUAGUGGAAGCGUCUGGAAAGGCGCGCGAUACAGGGUGACAGCCCCGUACACAAAAGCGCAUGUGCUGUGAGCUCGAUGAGUAGGGCGGGACACGUGGUAUCCUGUCUGAAUAUGGGGGGACCAUCCUCCAAGGCUAAAUACUCCUGACUGACCGAUAGUGAACCAGUACCGUGAGGGAAAGGCGAAAAGAACCCCGGCGAGGGGAGUGAAAAAGAACCUGAAACCGUGUACGUACAAGCAGUGGGAGCACAGGUUUACCUGUGUGACUGCGUACCUUUUGUAUAAUGGGUCAGCGACUUAUAUUCUGUAGCAAGGUUAACCGUAUAGGGGAGCCGUAGGGAAACCGAGUCUUAACCGGGCGUUAAGUUGCAGGGUAUAGACCCGAAACCCGGUGAUCUAGCCAUGGGCAGGUUGAAGGUUGGGUAACACUAACUGGAGGACCGAACCGACUAAUGUUGAAAAAUUAGCGGAUGACCUGUGGCU
rnacentral:rRNA from 2 species